GAGUUUGAUCCUGGCUCAGAUUGAACGCUGGCGGCAGGCCUAACACAUGCAAGUCGAGCGGUAGAGAGAAGCUUGCUUCUCUUGAGAGCGGCGGACGGGUGAGUAAUGCCUAGGAAUCUGCCUGGUAGUGGGGGAUAACGCUCGGAAACGGACGCUAAUACCGCAUACGUCCUACGGGAGAAAGCAGGGGACCUUCGGGCCUUGCGCUAUCAGAUGAGCCUAGGUCGGAUUAGCUAGUUGGUGGGGUAAUGGCUCACCAAGGCGACGAUCCGUAACUGGUCUGAGAGGAUGAUCAGUCACACUGGAACUGAGACACGGUCCAGACUCCUACGGGAGGCAGCAGUGGGGAAUAUUGGACAAUGGGCGAAAGCCUGAUCCAGCCAUGCCGCGUGUGUGAAGAAGGUCUUCGGAUUGUAAAGCACUUUAAGUUGGGAGGAAGGGCAGUAAAAUUAAUAACUUUUGCUGUUUUGACGUUACGACAGAAUAAGCACCGGCUAACUCUGUGCCAGCAGCCG
rnacentral:rRNA from 1 species